GUUAAGGAUGCCAUAAAAAAAGAUGGAUCAAAAAUUAAACUUAGAUUUGCAGCUGAUGGGAGGAGGACAAGCAAAAGGAUUGGCACAGUAAUGGCUGUGUUCAACAUUCUGUGUGAAAAUAAAACAACAUAUGAAUACCAGUAUACUCUGGCAUUGUACAAUGGUAUUGUUGCUCUGACUGGAAGUUUUUGGCCCUUGUUUAUGGACUAAAUGGAGCUAGCUCGAAAUACUUUUGUAUUUGGUGUUAUUGCUGCAAGGACCAAAUUAACAACCUUGAUAUUGAUGACUGGCCAAUUGAGAGAAAGCUAUCAGAGUGCACUUGGUUGUGCCAGCACUCCACCACGGCUGCAAGGAAAGGCUGCACAAUGCCUCCACUUCUUAACAUCCCUUUUGAGUUUGUUGUGGUGGAUACAUUACAUUUAUUUUUAAAUUUUCAAUUUCCUUGACUAAUUAUUUUGUAAUUGUGUUUACAAGAUGUGGAAAAUAGUUGGGUUG